GACGAACGCUGGCGGCGUGCUUAACACAUGCAAGUCGAACGGAAAGGCCCUACUUUGGUGGGGUGCUCGAGUGGCGAACGGGUGAGUAACACGUGGGUAACCUGCCCUUGACUUUGGGAUAACCUCAGGAAACUGGGGCUAAUACCGGAUAGGAGCUCCUCCUGCAUGGUGUGGGGGGGAGUGUUUCGGCGGUUGGGGAUGGCCCCGCGGCUUCUCCGCUUGUUGGUGGGGUAGUGGCUCACCAAGGCUUGGACGGUUACCCGGCUUGAGAGGGUGACCGGCACCAUGGGGACUGAGAUACGGCCCAGCCCCCAACGGGGGGAGGAGGGGGGAAAAUUGGCAAAAGGGGGGGAAGCCGAAGGCGCGACCGCGGGGUGGGGGUUAACGGCCUUCGGUUGUUAAACCGCUUUCGCCGGUGAGAAGGGGUUUGUGACGGUAAUGGGUGAAGAAGCACCGGCUAACUACGUG
rnacentral:rRNA from 1 species